UCUUCUUCAGUAUUCGUGUACAUUUGCCUUCCAAGUAAAAAGAUUAAUAAAUUAAAAGAAGCA
rnacentral:tRNA from 1 species